rnacentral:rRNA from 1 species
UACGAAGGGGGCUAGCGUUGUUCGGAAUUACUGGGCGUAAAGCGCGUGUAGGCGGGUCUUUAAGUCAGGGGUGAAAUGCCAAGGCUCAACCUUGGAACUGCCUUUGAUACUGGGGAUCUUGAGUCCGGGAGAGGUGAGUGGAACUGCGAGUGUAGAGGUGAAAUUCGUAGAUAUUCGCAAGAACACCAGUGGCGAAGGCGGCUCACUGGCCCGGAACUGACGCUGAGAUGCGAAAGCGUGGGGAGCAAACAGG